rnacentral:lncRNA from 1 species
GAGGAACAUGUCAGAAGAUUGGACGUCGGGCCGGUGGAUCGGUCGACGUAUCGACAGAAGGCUUUGGGCCGUGGACUCGGGCAUCGGGCCAAGAAGAGCGGGUAUUGUGCCAAGGAUAUCGGAGUUGCGGAGUCAACUGGCCGAUUGGGCAAUAGGCUGCAGGAAAGGACGAUGCGCUGAAGAAUCGGACGAAGCGUCGAGGGACCAAUGACAUGCCGGA